rnacentral:misc_RNA from 1 species
UACUACAGUACUUCGCAUUACAAACCAAACAUGCCUCCUUCUCAGUGAAGCGGCUUCCUUGCAAGCAUCGGUAGCACGCUCCUUUCUUCACCGCCAGCUCAGGCACCGCUUCAGCUACUCCAACCGGGCCGCUCGAUUCGGCGGAGUCUUCAAAUGUGACAAAGGCGGGCCGCCUCCCCUCGCCGUCGAACCCCUCCUCAUCCUCAUCCUCGGUGUAACAGUCAAUGUCAGCCGUGGGGGAGCCGAA